CUAUUUAACUUGUAAUAGUCAGACAUUGAUGUGAUACAAAUGAAUAGCAUUUAUCAUUUGGGUAAGCACAUUCCUAUAACUGCAUAAAGUGACAUUAUCUUAUUGCAACAAUACUGUAAAAUGAUACAUCUCAUUAUCACAGUUAGUGUGAGGUUUAUGCUGUGUUUGACAUUUGACACUGUCCAGUGUUCACCAGAUCAUGUAUAUUGGAAGAUAUCAGUAAGUGCUGUCAGGGGUUGUCUGGAUUUCUUCCUGGUUUAUUUUGAGUUUGUUUUUUUUUUUUUCUUCUUUACUUUUUGAUCUUCCACCUCUUCUGUUUCCUUUUUUCUGUAAUUAUUUGUUUCUUCCUGCAUUGCUGAGGGAGGACUCUUCACCUUGGGAGCAGAUUUCUGCCUGUCCUUAAGAGGAGACUCAAAGGAAGAGGGAAUAUUUCUGAAAGGUUUCAUGUGGGGUUUUGUUUUGGAAGAAGCAAUGAACACUUGGUCUCUUUCCAACUUCUCUACACCACUCAUGAUUUUGCACAUCUUUUUAGUCAUCUCUUUUUCAGAUUAGAGAAAAAAAAUAUGUAUUGGGCAAGUUUAAGAAAAAAACAAAGCAAUUUUUAAGACUUUGAGAAAACACUACAGCUUAUGAAAGUGACCAUCCAUUCUGCAGAAUGAAGGGCAGUAUUCUGCUUUCCUCCAGGAUCAAUAGAUGGCUGAGAUGUCUGAUUUUGUUUGUUAUGCCUUAUCAUCACUUGCAAGGUAAGUAUGAUGGGGUUUGCAGGCUGUUCUGCAGGCAAACAGCACCUAUCGUAGGUAACAGACAUUUUGUUCCCUGUUUAAUAACUUUAAUAACAGUGAAACAGCUGCAGUAAUAAAUAGUUAACAGAAAAUAACAGUUAACAGAAAAAGACUUUUCAAUAUUAUUAUCAGUCACAAUGGAAGUAACAAAAUUCCAUCUGCAAUCACACAACAUCAGCUGGAAAUAAUCAGAAGAAUUCCACUGGCAACGCACUAAUCUUGGAAAAAUCCAGCCAUCAAUUUAGAUAAGGGAUUUUUAUUUCUUUUGGGUACUUCAGGAUAGAUUAGAUCACAUCAAGGGAAAAAUACCAUGAUUCUGGCUUUUGUCUUUUGUAUUAGAAGCAAUUGGCUUGCUUUGCCAGGUGGAUGAGGCUGGGUGGGAUCUGUGGAGGUCACAAGGCACAGUUUCCCAGAGCAGGUUGCCCAGGACCCCAUCCCAUCAGGUUUGGAAUACUUCCAAGGAUGGAGCCUCCACAACCUCUCUGGGCAACCUGUUCUAGUGAUCACCUUCACAUAAAUAAGUAUUUUCUUACAUUUAGCUGGAGUUUCCUGUGUUUUAAUAUGCAUCUUGUCCUGCCUGGAUACCCCUGAGAAGAGAGUGGCAGUUUUCUUUGCUGAAGGUCAGCCUGAAGUGAAGGCAUCAAGUACUUUGCUCCUUUCUGUGUCCUCUGCCAUCAGGUCCCCAUCCCACUCAGGAGCAGCCCCACAUUUUCCCUGGACUUCCUUUUGCUGCUGAUUUACUUGUAGAAACCCAUCUUUUUGCACCUCACAUCUCUCAGUAAUUGGACUCCCGAUGGGUCUCAGUUUAAAUGUAACAGAUGAGUUUAGAUUUAGCUAAUUGCAAAUUAGUCUGGCUCUAGCAGAGGUUUCAAGGCUGAGUUCUACAGACGUUACUUGAAGAACCAGGAGUUUAAGAAAAGUAGAAUUCCAUUCCCAAACCAACACAAUUUUUGCUUUGGACCUCAGUUUUCCAGAAUGUUGGAAAUCUUAUUUUCAAACUAAUUCUUGCCAGCAAAGAAAAUCAAACUCUGCUGGCCUUGGUAUAUCUUUACACUGCAUUUAGGAAUGGAGUGGCCCAUAUGAAAAUGGAAGUAACUUGUUAUAUUGUUCCAAAUGUCUGCCUUUGGGUUUUGCCCUUUUCUGUCCUUAAAAGAAUGUUUUCCUGAGGAAACAAAAUCUCUUUGUUGCUCAGCUUAGCUGGAGCUCAUGUGACACCAGUAGCUUCUUAGAAUUAGCUAGUGGUUAAUAUACACUUUGGUAAUUAUAGAUAUUUAAUUUAUUUCUGAGCAGGUGGUAAAAAAUAUUUUGUCUAGAUGGUUCAGUCCUCUAAAAGCACUAGUUUAGAAAAUUUCUUUGCCUGACAAAUCCCUCUGACACCUUCUACAGCACUGAAAAAUCACUAUUGACCACAAUAUAGAUCUAAAGUCUGUGUAUUUCACAGUUAAAAUACACCAAACAUUUAAGAGUUUAAGAAAUCUUUCUGUUUUUCCUCUGUGACUAUUUCUUCAUUUGGAUGUACUCACUUCCCCCCACUGAGUCACUGCCUUUGGAUCAUCAAACAAUCUAUAAUCUGUGUUUUACAGAAAGGUUUUCAAAAAAUAAUAAUCUACUCCCCAACGCAAAUGAAGCGAACAAUGAUGAAUUGGGCUCACAGUCAAUUAAAAGUUUAAGCAAAUGCUCAAACAUUUUACCAUAUGGAAGCACUUCAGAGCAAGAACUCAAAAUUAACCCUGUAUGGGAUUUACAUGCUGAACUGGGAAGGCAGGUCAUGUGAGCACCCAGAAAUCAAGUGUAACACUUGUAUUUCCUGACUGAUCCAUUGUCCUCUUUUAUGGCAAUAUUAAGGAAGAUGAGACUAGGAAAUGCAGUCCUCCACCUUUGAUCUGCAGGCAGAGAGAUUCCCACCCAUACACAGGAUUUACUUGCACCUUGUAGUCUUUUGAUAACGUGCAUGAAAAAUCUUCUGUACCAUAUGUGUGAAAUGAGAGGCAGAAAUGACCUUUUACCACGAUUUCCAUGGUGACAGUCCUCAUUUUGAUGUCAUUAAACUGCUCACUGAUAUUAUACAAGGGACAUCUGGAGUGGACAUGAUGUAAUAAGUAAAAAAGCAGAAGAAAGGGACACUUUGUUGAAGGUUGUGCUUUAAAUUUUUGAGACACAUCUGCUUUAGAAAGGCUUUGCAGUGCCAUUGUCUCACAGGGCAAACAGCAUGUGGGCAAAGCAGGUACUUACAGCCUGGGCUCUUGACUUGCUGUGAGGAGAUGUCUUCCAUUCUUAAUCUUUGAAAUUCAUUCAGUGUGUCCUGGAUAUGAGAAGAAAAGAAACGGUGCACCAUUUCUUUCAAAACUGUUUUUAUUUUGGAAGUAUACACAUAUCUGUUUAUUUGUAGAUAUCCUACAUCAUUCACAUUAGCAAUGACUGAAAUUCUCUUCUUUUAUCCCUAAUAUAUAGGGCUUAAACAGUCUUGUUAUGCUGCUGUGAGCUACUGAGCUGUAUUUGCCACAUUUGUUAAGACCGACAUCCCAUAAAUAAAAGAUCUAAGAAUUCAGCUUAUCUGCUUUUGAGAGGCACGAAUAUGUUCACAUAUUGUAUGAGCUAAAGGAAUCUGGGCUCCUUUGGUGGAAGAAAACCAGGUUAUAAUUGGUAGCAGCAAACUGUGUGAUCAUUAAGAAAAUGUACACUAUGUGUGUUGACUUUCAAUAAACAGGAGCAAUGGCCUAUUCUCUGUUUAGCAGAAGACACUUCAGUAAGUAUUUUAUAUAUAUAUAUAUUUUUUUAAACAUUCUGUUUUAUUAGUACUAGGAAUGUAAUAAUAACAGAUAUCAGAACUCCAGUGUUACCAAUGAAAUGUCAUAUUUAAUGAUAUUUAAUAUUUGUUGGCUUUUGCAGAAAACAAAAAUUAAAAGGAGAAAUGGUUGCUUAGUAAACAAUUACAUAUUCCAUUUGUAACUAUUAAUAAUUUUGCACCUGUGCUCCUCUUUUUUAUUUUAUUUUUGCUCAAAUUGUUCUCAUGGAAGGUGCCUGCUCUUCUCCCAGACUGAUGCAUUUGCUCACAUGUGCACGCUGAUGAUUUCACCCAAGUCAGCAUUGUUUCUAGAACUGACAAACCUGGAACCAAAGCACAUGUCUCAAUGGGUAAGCAAAUCUGAUAGACUAUUUCUAAGUGUAAUAUCUGACAGAAUAACUGGGAUCUACUCUGUUGUCAUUGACUUAACUAGUCCUUACAAGCAUGACAGGUAUAGUGGGAAAGCUGUUUUCCUUAGGGAUGAUUGUUCUGUCCAACACUAGCAUUGCUCACAUUUUGGUGACAUCAUUCAUUAUACAUUUGGAGCAGUCUUACAUUCCUGAUUAAAGUACAUAAAAGUUCACUGAAAUUCUCAAAAAAAUUAUUGUUUCAUUCAGCCCCAGUGCCAUGGGCAUCACAAUCACUUAAAUAUUUUUUUUUUGAGUGUUUGCUUGAUUGUAUUUCACAUUAGCCUGACCUAAUUUACCCACAUCUCAAAGGCCAUGCCAGGUUUCAUUCCCUGUGAGUCAGUAUAGCCUCUUGGAGAGCCUGGGGAUAUAUCCAGAUCCAGUGGAAGCAGCUACAGCCUUGUUUUAUUACUGCUGGAAUUUGACCUAUAAGAAAAAACUUUGCUUCCAUUUUUAUCCUGCUGAAGCUAUUUCUUAAGCCAAGAAACCUAAAUUCUGGAUUUCCCUAUAUUUUUUCUAAAACAAACAAGCAAACAAACAAACUCCAACAAAACACAUACACAAUUUCCACCCCCCUCCACCCAGCAAAAUACUGUCCAUGACUACUGGUAUAAAUCUUGUUCAUGUCUCUCACUUUUACUUCCUGUUUGGAGCUGUCCUUGAUGUACUUUUUUUCCCCAAAGAAAAGUUUUAUAAUCAUCUUUUUUUUUUAUAAAGGGAGAAUCUGGAAAGUCUUCGAAGAAAUAAAAUUGCAGCAUCCCCAUUAUAAUUUCUUCAGAAUUUGGAUUCUGGUGUUUAGGUAGUUCCCAUUUUAGUUUUCUCUUUCAGGGUGUAACUCUUUCAGGUGGAACUUGACAUCCCUUCUGAAAUGGCAUUUGUGACUGCAGUGUUCAACCAUCAUGAAAGGCACUUUGGUCUGCAGCAGCUGCCCUUUGGGACUGAAAACCUUUUCAGGCUUCUCUAAUCCUGCUCAGAUGCAGGAACAUACCAGGAGAAUCCAACAAGACUCUGACAUCAGACCAGUUUUGACAGUUUUAUACAGUUUACUUACAUUAGGAAUUUAAAAAAAGGUCAAAUGCAAAUGUUUUAAACCUGUAGCUCUCCCUGCUGAAUCACUGCAGUGCUUCAUUUGGAUAGCAGGAUGUGAACCUGCAUGGAGAGGGUGAUGGCCAAUUAAGGAUGGAAAGAAAGGCACAGAGGCAAGUCUUGUAUGAGGCUGGGUAAUACUCAUGAAAAAGUCUGCUGGCAGAGUUAUAUCAGUAAAUGAACAUUUUGGCUAGAACUGGUUCAUCAGGCAAAGUCAGCUGUGCUAACAAAGGCAGUUUGAUACCAGCCUUGUUGUGUCCAUGCUGGAAGGACAGUGGAGGAUUAAUUAAAAGGAAAAAGAAAAAUAGAAUUCACUAGUGUUUCUAAGUUAGAACUAUUUUUGCAGUGAAUUUAAAUUCAGGUUGAUUUUUUGCUAAAUUACUACUACUAGGAUUUCUAUUUUCUGGUUUUUCAUUUCCUCUUUCUAGUCAUGAUUUGCAUUCUGCUGACCCCCUUAAAUCCAUGUUUUAAAUUAUUUCUAUCAAACUAUCUCACCUUGGUAUUAUAAUAUUAAUAUGCUUUGGUUUUUUUCAACUUGGCAGUCUUGUUCAAAAAUGCACAUAAUUUGUAUUCAGGUAGGACUUUAUUUGCAUGAAGAAGUUCAAGCACAGCAGCUCCUCUAUUUUCCCUGGAACGUUUUUCACAUUUGAAACAUGUAACUAUUCCAGAUCAGCUUUUCCAUAGCUCAUGUUCUCUGUGGUCAAGUGUAUUCUGCUGCCUGGUUCUGUAGUGAUGAUCAGCUGCCAGAGAGAUUACGAGAUACAUUUGUGGCUCAGAAAAUUACCAGUGUCACCUCAGUGUGCAGCUGGAAUGGUCACCCUCUGAGUCUCAACAAGAACCACGUGUCCCUGCGGGGAGCCCCUGGGAGUAACCAGAACUGCUCAUCACCACCGCCCCCGGUGGACAAUCCCUCCAGGUUCUCCUCUCCUGCUGGGCUCCACAGCAUCCCUUUGGGCUGCUCCAGGCACCACCACAGCCUGCCAGAGCCUCCAGAAAGCUGCUUCCCGGGGAGGCACUCGGUGCUCUGGCUCUAAAAGUUCCCUUAACAGUGAAUGUGUGGGAAUGCUGCCUGUCCAUGCUACCUUUAAAUAACUGGGUGCAUGCAGUUUGGGUGUUAGUAAAAAAUAUUGGUACUUCAGGCAAUUUUUCAAAUUUAUUAGGAGAAGUAAUGGCUCCAUUUAUAAUGGCAGUGCAACACAGUAUGUGACUGUGUUGGAGGGACUAAACCUUCAUCCUGAUAAAUUAUACAAUUAUGCUUUGAAAUGCAUUUACUUGUUUUGAAACAUUAUUUCUCUGUGGUUUUCAAAAAAAUAUUUUCUGCUUCUGAAAACAAACAAGUUACUGGUAACAGGGUUCAUUUUUUAUAAAACUGUUUUGUUUCUAUUGAAACAGAAUGUAUUUGGGAGACAAAUUUUCUUAAUUUGCUAACUAAUGAUGUCAUUCCUUUUUUUUUUUUAGAGAUAAUUCUAACACCUUAAUAACCCUGUAGGAUACUUAUUAAAAUAUAAGAGAUUAAAUUGUAAUGAGCUACACUACAGCCCACUUCUUGAAAGAGCUCCCAGGAAGGGAUUGCUAUAGGGAAAAAGAAUAAAUUCAUUUUCCAACCUAUAACAAAAGGCAGCAUAGAGGACAUAGCACAGAGCUGUAACAUCUACUUGAAUAACCAUAAAUUAAGUGGUGUUUUAGCCAGCCAGUUAUCCCUCAGACUGCUAUGCAUGAGCAGGCAGAAAGUCUUCAUUUUCCGUGGAAUGGGUGAUUUGGAGACUUUGCAAUAUAUCAGCUUUAACUGUGCUACUUCUUGUACAUGGAUUGGGAUUCGCUGUCUUAAAGGACAUUUUGUAUCCACAAUAAAUAAUUCACUCUCAGUCAAAAUAAGAAGAGUUUUGGAGGGAGUUCAAUAUGAGCAGAAUAGAGCUCCUAAUACAAUUAUUGGCCACCUUGAGAGGGGGAAUAAAAACAAACCUGGUUCCUACAGGUCAAGAAUUACCUGUGGAUUAUGGAUGACUAAUAAAAAGAUUUACACAAAGAUUUACUCUUUCUGAUUUGGGCACAUUAAGAAAAGCUAUUAACAUACUAGCAACUGAAAACAGUGUAAAGCAUUAAAGCUAAUGGUGAUGAGCACUAUAAAAAAAUGAAAGUCAGAAUUAAAACAUCUUGUAAGAAUUGUGAUGUAAAACUCCUGCUUUUUUUGUGCAUCAUAUACUGUGUCACUGCUACAGUAACACACCAUUUACAAAGCAAUUAAUUCCAGUUGAUGGAGAGGAUAUUUUAAUUACCAGGCUAAAGGCUGAGUAUUAUUAUAUAUAAAACCAUAAAAUUAUUUUUAAUUUUAUCUCCUACAGAACCUGAACUCUCAAAUUUGGAACUAAUUUUUGCCAAGUGAUACAACAUAAUUAAACUGAAAACAAUACACACAGUGUUAUGAUACCCAGGUGAUAAAAGGUAAAGCAGUUCUUUUUAUCCUAGUACUGUUCUCUCCUCACACCAAACAAUUUAGAACAACUUAGUUGAGAGGAAAGUAGUGAGGUGGAUACAGCAUGUAUUGCAUUAAGAUGAAGGAAAAAGAUAAGGAAAAUGUAGAUAUAUUUGUGCAGUGCUGGAAGCAUUACAAGAAAAGGAGCAGGAGCAUGUGUUGUAUUUACAGGGGAUAAAAAUACAGAGUGCUACUAAUGGAAAGAAGAGCAAUAAACAACAUGAACUGUUAGGUGAGGCAAAUAAAAUGCAGGAGAAGACAAAAGAGUGAAGUAAAAUCACCCAGAAAAUCACCUGGAAAAUAACCAUGCCAUUGCUUCAGCAAAGUUAAGAGACACCCUCCACCCCAGACUUUUUUUGGGGUUGGACUCCAAGCAAGUACAAAGAUACAGUUCUUUGCCUAAAAGCCAUGGAAUCCCAACAUGAGAUCCAAGGCAACAGGCAGGGGGAAUGUAGUGCAAGGAAGGUGCAGCGUGUGGGGAUCCCCUUGCUCAGCUUUAGGAAUUGUGGGACAUCGGUGCAUUGAACUGAAAUCCCUUGGACUAUUUCUUUAAACCUUAAUUCUAGAUGAAAGUGUAAGAAGGGUGGUGAUAAACUUCAGCAAAUCCAGCAGAGGCUGGGGCAGGUUCCCUGGUGAGGCUGUGGAUCAGCUAUCCCUGGAGGUGUUCAGCACCUGCUUUGGACUAGAGAUCUCCUGUGGGCCCUGGAGCCACGGUGAGUCCGGGAUUCCUUCAUAAAGCCAAACCAAACAAAAUAACUGAAUAAAGGAGAGAGGUGGAAAAGCGGGCUUGGAAAAUUAAUUCAGUUAUUUCUUGUUAUGUAUAAACCAAACAUAUGUUUUGUAGUGGUAUAAUUCCACUGGUUUUGGUGAUGCAUGAUACCUGUUCAAACAAAAAUAGUAAGAUGUAUAAAGUGUACAUUCAAAACAGCCUCGCUUGUCAUCAAUAACUGUUUUGUACCAGCUUUCACUGUAUGUGAUUCUAAAAAUUCGACUUGUCUCUCCAAUUCUUUAUUAUUAACCAUUUAUCUACUCUCUCUACUCAGUCUUUCAACUCUCAAGCAUAUCCCUUGGCUUUUUUUUUUUCCUGUCUGGCUACAAAGUUGUUGUGAAGACAAAACAGAAUAACGACAGUGGAUGUCCCCUCUGGUGAGAUCUAGAUUUCCUCAGUGCAGAAUGUCUGACCUUCUUUCAUUCUUGACACUUGAGAGCUUUCUUUAUUAAUGUCAUUCCAGCCUAAUUUUAUACAGUCAGCAUGUUAGAUGUCUUGUAGAAGUACUCCCAUCUUUUAUUGUUUUUAGCAACCAAUUAAUUCCCAGCCUGACUAGUCCCAGUUGCUCGGCACUGUACUGGGGAUUUGGCACAGCAUGUUGGAAUAAAUCUCUCGCCUUCUGCCCCUUGCAGUCUCAAAAUACAAAUCCAAGCAGAGAUGUAGAUGUGUGCAGGGAUGAGGGAAGAACCAAAACAAGAAAAUGCAUCUGUUUGCCUCUUUUUAUGGUCAGCCUGCUUGAACCUUUCCAAUGCCAGGUUUUUGUUUCCCUGGAAAUAAAAGAAGCAAUCAUUUAAGAAAUUUUAUAAUUAGGAAAUAUUUUUACUACUACUGCAUUUUUGCUACUACACUGUGCUUUGCUCUGCUUGAUGUGAUCACAUUUAAUUAUCUUCUGUCCUUGCAAAGCCACUUGAUGAUGUGACUCUGCUGCUGCUGAGAAGGUUGAGCAGAGCCCACUGAGGUCAAGUUCCCAGCAGUCACCGAGUAUGUCACUGUUACUUUCAUCUACUUCAAGCUUGAGCACAUGGUUAAGUCCUGCUUUUUUCUUUUUUUUUUUUUUAACUCUGUUCCUCUGUAUUGAGGUCACUUUGACUGUUUCAUUCUGUUUGUGCUCUCAAUCUCUAAUUUUUGCCGAGGACACUGUAAGCUGAGCAGGAAUUCCACAUUUUCAAGUGGCGUACUGAGAAGUAAUUUCCUACCUAAAAGUUUUCCCCUCUAUCAAGUGCUUUGUGGAAUGCAUCUUAGUUCAUUCUCAUACAGAAUGACUGAGACUAAAAGGGGUGGCUUCUGUUUCCAGCAGACACUGGCAGAGGCCUGAAAGGGUUUGUGUGAGCCCCACAGUCACACCUAUAAACACCUGAGGUGUGGCAAACUCCCGGGCACCUGGGACCAGGGAGCCAGUGUGGCAUUCCACUCCCUUCUCCACUGAGUCAUCUCCAAGGUGGGACACUUCUCUUUUCUCCCUCUUUUCCUCUCUGAGCCAGGAAUAGUUCCAGGAGCAGAAGACAGUUUCAGUCUGGAUCAACUGCUGGUUUUUUUAGCUUCUAUUUUUAUCUCUUCCAUAUGAUGCUGAUCCCAGAGAAGAGCCUAAGUUGAACAUUCCUAUCUUUUUUUCUGUGUCUUCUGCCACACAUAAAAAUUCAGGUCUGUGGGUUCUUCUGGAAACUCUGAAAAGCUCUUUCUCCUUUGCCUUUGCAAACAUGGAUUUUGACCACAGUAACCACUGCAGUAAUUAAAACAAGCAUCAGUCUCACACCAGGUACAUAAUAACAUCCAAUACUUCUGAACUGUAAUUAAGUUUGGGGAAAAUGCUCCACUCAUUUACAUCACCAGACUGAACUGUAUUAGGAUACCACUAUGCUGGAACAGUGUUUUCCAAAAUAGUUGACUUAAAAUAGGUCUGACUUCAAAGGAUCUUCAGAUUUCUCUUCUAAAAGUUUGCAAUUAUCUAACAAAUCAAAAUAAGACAAGUCUGUAUCAAAAUAUUAGAAAAUAAGUUUCAGUUAUCAUGAGUCAAUAAUAUGUAUACAUCAGAUAAUUUGAAUAAUUGUAUCAAAUUAUUUGUUUUCUCUGCUUAAUAUAUUAUUUACUAUAAAAAAAUGACUGUACCUAGAUACAAGUAUAACCUUAGUGGUUAAACUGAAACACUGUGCAUCUGAUAACUCAUGAAAUAGUAGAAUCAUAGAAUCACAUUAACAAACAUAGCAGCAGUACAGAAACAUUAAUUCUUCCCUUUGUUUGAAUAGCUUAUCACAUUACUCGAUGGACCAAAAGGUAUUUCCCUGACAAAAUGGAUUCAAAUCAUAAAGCUGUAACAGGAGUGUAUUGCCUUUCAUCCUCCUCUCCACUCACCCAGUUGGACAAACGGGGCUGGCAGUGACUUGUUUCCUCUUUAGUGCGUUUGCCCGAGGCAACAAACCCAAGAAAUUGCAGGUAACAGUUUAUCAAAUGCUUGUAGUCAGUUGACUCCCUCUCCCCCUGUCACUCGGCAUCAUUUUAUUAGCAGAGCCUUGACCCAGGUGUGCCAGAGGCUUGGAAGUUCAGAAGGUGGGAUGCAGCUGUCACAUGAGAGAUGGAUGAUGUGCAUUUUGUGUUUUCAAUGCACAUUAGAGUAUCCGAGAGCGAGCCUGCUAAUGAAAGCUGACAUCUCACCAACGACACCGUGGAAGCCUUGGGAGGAGAACUGGGAGCAGUUUCAGCAUGUGAAAGGAAGGGACAGGAGGAGAGACUGGGGCUGUAGGUUUGCUUUUGAAUUUCCUGCAGUGGAAACGUGCACGGCACAGGGCUUAUCAAAAUCAACAGGGCUGUCCACAGCACACAGUUUGCUACACGGGCAAGGUUUGAGAGAAUAAUGGCAGUUUGAAUCCAUUUUUUAUAAAUGUAGAUAAUUUUUAAACACAUUUUAAAUUAUUAUGUUACUCUGUUAUUGGUGUAAUAAGUCAAUUUUGUUUAAUGGCUGCAGAAAUUAUACAUUUAAAAACAUACCAUCACAUGCACGAGGAAGGAAGUUUCUCUUAACGUGUAAAACUGUCCAUAAUUUUUUUUUUUUUUUUUAGUGAGAUAGAAACUGAGGAAAUAAUCUAAAUAUAGAUUUGCAUUUAAAAUUAAAAUGCAAUUAAAUUUUGCAUUUAAAUUAUCGAUAAAAUUUGUAUUUAUAAUAUGAAAAUUCAAAAUAUUUAAAUGCUUUUAAGACAUCUUAAUUUCACCUUUACCCUUUUCACUGUAUUCAAGGAAUAACUGAAUAAUCAGUGUAAAUAACAACUAAAUGACUGUUUUACAUUGUAAAUAAUGAGAAGAGCUGCUUGCUGUCAUUUUCAUAUAAAUGUUAUUCUUGUUAAAUUUCAAGGCUUUUCUCACAAAAUUGCUCCAUUUUGCUGUUUGUCAUCCACAAAUGCUGGCCCUGACUCUGCACCGUGUUGUGGUUGUGAAGGUGGCACCAGUUUGCCACCUCUGAGUGCCUUUUCCUCUUUGGCACAGAAUUUUCCCAAUGUUUUUAAGACAAUCAAGACCCGGAACCACUGAUUCCAUUCCCAUCCUCUCCAUUUCUCCAGCAGCUGACAUUUUGAUCCUUUCCUUAAGAUCUGUGUCUCAGACUGGCUCUCUCCUCCCUCUCUCCUGGUGUCCAUGUAUCCCACAGCACAGCUGAUCCCCAUGGAGCCGCUGCUCACCCCGUGGCCACCACGUGCCUCCUCCAGGGCCUUGGAUCGGCUCAGCUUUGCUCUGCUGUGGGCAGGAUCUGCAGUGCCACUGCCUUUAUUUUGGUCAGGAUGCUUGAUAGCUGUGCAAAUGCUCUACGUAGCUGCCUUAAUGCUGGUUUGGUUGGAUGAUCCAGCAGUUUGGAUCAAGCCUCCAGCUCUCCUUUGGUACAUUUAUUCACUUCUAUAGCGUAGUAUUUGCUCUCAUAUUAAUUUACAUUUCCUAUUAUAUCUCUGAUGGGAACUCUUGAACCAGUCAUUACUUUAUCCAUAUGUUAAAUGUUCAUUUUACAACUAUUAGUAUUCUGCCAGGGUAUGUAUCUCUUAAAUGCUAAUUUUGGACAUUUCCCAGUUCUCCUGUCUUCCUCUGUACAACGUCCCCAGUGUGCUCAGUAGUCCUUGGAUGGGCUAAAUAAACCCAACUCAUUAGACAAACACAAACUUCCUGCUGGUCCCAUUUUCAUGCCCAUUGUUUCAGCAGAACAUUUUUAAGCCCUUCUGAGCAUUGCUUUAGCCUGCCACGUGUACAGCUUUCUCAGAAGAUAAUCUAGUUUUUGCAGCCUGAUUGCUCUUCAUCCAAGUACUAAAAUGCUGCUUUUUAGGUAAAUCUUCCCACCACACGUGAUGCUGCUGAUCAUUUUUUCUGGCUUCAGGCCUCCAGAAUCAACAAGUGUAAGAAGUGAAGGACAGGUCGUCCUCAUAUCAGUCAGUACCAUGAUUUGUUACUGCUUUGGUGGGAUCAAUUGUAUCCCCAGCAUCUGAGAUAAAAAAUAUAAAAUGCAUCAAUAAUUUUCUUGCCGGAAGUUGUAACAUUUGAACAUUUCUGUUUUUAUGUUGAAUAAAGUUUUAUUCCUGCCUUUUA